CGUACAUGCUUCCUGCUGUGGCUGUCUCGGAACGCCUGUCUGCUGCUUCAUGAUUUUCUGCCGUCUCUUGGCAAAAAUGGCAAAUAAUGACGCUGUUCUGAAGAGACUAGAGCAGAAGGGUGCAGAGGCAGAUCAAAUCAUUGAAUAUCUCAAGCAGCAGGUUGCUCUACUUAAGGAGAAAGCAAUUUUGCAGGCAACUUUGAGGGAAGAGAAGAAACUUCGAGUUGAAAAUGCUAAACUAAAGAAAGAAAUUGAAGAACUGAAACAAGAGCUAAUUCAAACAGAAAUUCAAAAUGGAGUGAAGCAAAUACCAUUUCCAUCUGGUACUCCCCUGGAAGCUAAUUCUGUGGUUUCUGAAAAUGUGAUACAGUCUACACCAGUAGCAACCGUAUCUUCUGGUACCAAAGAACAGAUAAGAGGAGGAACAGGAGAUGAAAAGAAAGCCAAAGAGAAAAUUGAAAAGAAAGAGAAGAAGGAGAAAAAACAGCAAUCAGUAGCUGGAAGUGUCGACUCUAAUCCAAUAGAUGUUUCCCGUCUGGAUCUUCGAAUUGGUUGCAUCACAACUGCCAAAAAACACCCUGAUGCAGAUUCUUUGUAUGUAGAAGAAGUAAAUGUUGGAGAAAUAGCCCCAAGAACAGUUGUCAGUGGCCUGGUAAAUCAUGUUCCUCUUGAACAGAUGCAAAAUCAGAUGGUGGUUUUACUUUGUAAUCUGAAACCUGCAAAGAUGGGGGGAUUAUUGUCUCUAGCAAUGGUCAUGUGUGCUAGUUCACCAGAGAAAGUUGAAAUCUUGGCACCUCCAAAUGGGUCUGUUCCUGGAGACAGAAUUACUUUUGCAGCUUUCCCAGGAAUGCCCGACAAGGGGCUGAACCCUAAGAAGAAGAUUUGGGAGCAGAUUCAGCCUGAUCUUCACACUAAUGAUGAGUGUGUGGCUACACACAAAGGAGUUCCCUUUGAGGUGAAAGGGAAGGGAGUAUGUAGGGCUCAAACCAUGAGCAACAGUGGUAUCAAAUAAAAUGCCUCCACUACCAAAGGACAUUGGAGAAAACCUUAAUAGUAAUAAAGGGAAAUAUAUUUGUCACUUGUA